rnacentral:pre_miRNA from 9 species
GUAGUUGCUCCGUAGGAGACCUGGAGUAGCUAACUCAAACUCCAGGAGAGUUACAGAAAUGGUAACACU